UGAGGAAUAUUGCGCAAUGGGGGCAACCCUGACGCAGCAACGCCGCGUGGACGAUGAAGGCUCUCGGGUCGUAAAGUCCUUUUCUGAAGGAAGAUAAUGACGGUACUUCAGGAAUAAGUCCCGGCUAACUACGUGCCAGCAGCCGCGGUAAAACGUAGGGGGCAAGCGUUAUCCGGAUUCAUUGGGCGUAAAGCGCGCGUAGGCGGCGCUGUAAGUUGGAUGUGAAAGCUCCCGGCUUAACUGGGAGAGGCCGUUCAAUACUGCAGUGCUGGAGGUUGACAGAGGAGAGUGGAAUUCCCGGUGUAGUGGUGGAAUGCGUAGAUAUCGGGAGGAACACCAGUGGCGAAAGCGGCUCUCUAGGUCACACCUGACGCUGAGGUGCGAAAGCGUGGGGAGCGAACGGGAUUAGAUACCCCCGUAGUCC
rnacentral:rRNA from 1 species